UUUAAGCUUCGCACAAUAAUAGAAACUGGUAUACAAAUUUGUAUAAACCGACGUUAUGUACAUUGCUUAGCCUUUUUAAACCCUCGUUUCUCGUUCGUUGAAAUCACUUUUUGCUAUGCAAUGUUUUUAUAACAGUUACAAGCUUUACACAAUACACUCUACAGAUUCAAGCAUGUUGUUUUAAUUAAAGAAAAACGGAGAUAAAUUCCAAACAUCCAAAAUUCGCAACCUGUUGUACUUUCCACUACUUUUACUUCUCACGACAUCGCCAGCUUUUCUACAAGUAAUAUGAUCAUUUUCCAGACAUGCUUGAACGCUUAUCUCUUCCUCGCACCAGUUUUUUGUUAAAGUACUUUAUCACCAUAGUGUAACCAAUGAAGCACAACAAAGGAGAGAUGACAGAGAAAUGUUUUAAUAAGAUGAUAAAGCAAAGUAUGUAGAUUGCAUCAUAUUUGUUUAUAUCUCUUCACCAAUAGCCGUAUUUAGUCUGCCUGCUUGUGCUGGAGAAAAUGCCGUGUUACGGAAACAAAAAAUGCGAUACAUAACGGACAGGGCAACCCAUGCAUUUGUCCACAAGCUACUGAAUAAUAAUAAUACAUAAAUAAUCUCCUGAAAAUAUGAGCGUACUAUAAGUGGCGGAGAAACUGUCGAAUGUCUCGAGCAGAAUUCGAUGUCAUAUAUUUGCUGAGAUAUUCGAUUUUCGACUAACGACUGCACGAAUAUCCAAAUAUAUUCCGUCAGACGCUCCCGCCUAAGGUGCAUGAUAUUAUUUCGUCGUCGUGUAUUUUCUUUGAAAUUGGAUAUCUUAUCAUUGCUUUUCCUAAACAAUGUAACUAGAUAUCAAGGUUUAUGAGAAUGAAGUUAAACUGUCAGCUCCUUUGCCUCAGUUUUAACGUUUAUUGUUGUGUUAAAUAAACACAACUUUUGAGGAUUAAAGUCUGAAGUACUAAUUUUUAACAAUUAUUCUGCAGCUUCUUCUAUUCUGAUAUAUUUGUAAAGAUUUUUGAGAAUCACAUCCAAACUGCUACUUUUUAUAAAUUCUUUGCCUUUCAUAAGUGAUAUUUUUUCCUCUUUUGCAAAUAUGUAAGUCAAACAUAUAUAUAUAUGAUGUGGCGACUUGCCUAUCGGGUUUUACAACAAUCGAUUUUUUCACUUAGCCAGUGUUGUAUCUUUGUUUUUAAUAUACACUGUAGUCAAUUGGGUA